CCCCACUUCUGCAAUUACACUUUGUUUGUUGUUGUUGUUGUUGUUGCUGUUGUUGUUGUUGUACGGAAACCUAUCACUGGACUCGGCUUGCCACAGUCUCCGGCCUGCCACAGCUCCGCCUAUCUUCUUCCCAAAUCCCUGGUAACUUUCUCUUCUUCUUCAGGCAAGUUACGGUGAAAGGUGUAAUUGAUCCAGAAAAUUUCGGCGCUCUUCGAGUAUUCCGUGACUGCCUGCCUAUCUUUUGUCUUCGUUUUUUGCACAAUAAUUGCAACUAUUCAAUGUUGCUCAAGUUACUUCCCUCAUACGAAUUUACCAAUUUAUGCUUUAUUAUUAGUGUAUUAUAAUUUACUUUUUUCCCGUCUUCAACUUCUCUUUUCGUGUAGGUUUCAAGAUUGCUGCAAAAAUUAUUCUUCUCCUUCACAUUUUUGUCUUUAUCGCAAAUAUUCUGCUCACCCAGGUACAAUUUAUGAUUCUUGAUAUCCAACUAUGGCAUUUUGGAAUUUGUAAAAGAAUAGUUUUUUUUUGUGUUUGCUAAAUCGUUUGUGAUAUCUUGCUGUUAUUAGAUUGAUAGUCGAUUGAUUGAAUUGAUUCCCCCGCUAUUCCUCUAUUAUUUUAUGAAUUAGGGAAUUUUCCGCGGGAAAUAAAUCACAGCAAUGUAUACAUAGAAUUAAAUUUUUUGAAAAUUUAGUUGAGAUAGAAUAGAUAAUUUUUAAAGUAUAUAUGCAUAAGCAAGUUUGAGUACUAUCUCUGUUGGGUACAGAAUGGUACUCUAAAAAAAGAAAACACAAAGCAAACAAUAUUAUCUAAGCUUAUUUUCCAUUAAACCAUCCACUUAAGACUCCAAAAAACUCUCAAUAAAGGCAAACAUGUGAGUUGCAAUUUAAGUAUAAAUAGAUAUAGUUGUUCAAAAAAUCUGUCAAUAGAGGCAAACAGCUAAGUUACUUGUUUCAUUAAAUGGAAAAGUUCACCAUUGAUUGAAAUUGUUUCACAUUCCAAAUUGGGGUUCUUAGAAUGGUAUUAUGAUUGAAGCUGUUUCAAACAUGCAAUAUGUAUGAUGAGUUCAUAAUUUGUACUUUUUAUAUCAAUGUUGCAUACAAGAAAUCUGAUUUCCUCACUUCUGGUGGUAAAUUGCAUAUCCCCUAUCACUGUUGUCAGAGUAUCUGAAACUUCUAUUGCGGCUGCAGUUCCAACUGCCUUUAUGCAGUAGGUUUGUGUAUCACAUUGUAUAGUUGCAGAUCUGAUGUAUCUAAGUGAGAUGUCAUUGCUACUGAUAAACUUGCUACUUGCGCAUAUUUAUGUUUACUUUGAUGUAUCACAUCUUUCGGAAUAGAAGGAUUUUGUUGAACAAGGCUGUAAGUUGUAAUGCUAAAACUUAUGAAUAUAGCAUCUGAAUACUUAGUUGGUCUCUUUUGAUCCUUGCACUAUUAGAAUGGCUAUUGGUGUGAAGGGAUUAUAGUUAAGAGGCCACGUGUGGGAUUCCACUAGGUGGUUGUUGUUGUUGUUGUUGUAUCAUUGUUAAUAUAUCAAUAAUAGUUUUUCCCGUGUAUUUUUUCUCACAUAACUGAUUGCAAAUUAAAAUCCCGAUAAGGUAAGCACUACAUGGUUAGAAUAAAAUGCUACUCAUAUUUCUUAAUCUUUGUUUAACUGGCUCAUAUUAUGAUAUUUUAGAAUGAAAUAUACGUUCGCAUUCCAUUCCAAAGCAAAGUUGUAAAGUAAAUCUUUACAUUCCAAAGCCCCUAAUCAUAGAUUACUAACACUAAUCCCAACAGAUAUCUAAAAAUAUACUUAUUUCAUAUUUAAAAAAAAAAGCUACCCUCUGUUGGAGAAUCACACGUGAUAGGUGGCUUGAGGGUAAAAAAGGAUUGUGGAGUCUGAGAUGGAGUCCUCAGAAAUAUGUAAAAGCUAGAGAACAGAUGAGCGAUCAAUGUAGUUUUUCUUUUUAAGGGAAAUAAUAUUAAGCAAUUGAAAAGAAAAAAGAGUUCUUGAUUUUUGAGACUUUAUUAUCCUAACUAAUGAAGCUUCUUUAGAGCCAUGAUUGUAUUUGUUUUCUUUUUCACAUGUUUUCUUGGAAUUCAGCAGAAUAUCUUUGCUGAUAUAGUUGGUGUUUAGUGUCAUUUUGGGUUCUUAUUUAGUUAAUUGUAAAAACAAAUAUCAUGAAGCAUUUAUGUGGAAUUGAAACCUUGACUUUUCAUACGACAAGGAAUGGAAAUGACACUGGAUUGGAACAACUCCAUUUGUCAAGGGGUGUCGUCCAAAUAUAAUUAUUCCCUAUUUCAUUUUGUAAUUAUUAUUUGCAUAUAUAUUUAUUAAAGUUCAGCAAGCAGUGUCACAUGUAGCAACGCGCAUCCAUCCAGAUUGUCAUUAUGUACUGUACUUUUCUUGCAAUAUGUUUUAGGAGGGUAGUUUUGGUGUUUCCUUGGUCAUGUAUAUAUAACUAAUAGAAUGUGAUCAUAUCAUCUUGCUAACUGGGUACAUAUGUUCAUCCUAUUUGUUCCUUCUCCUAUUUCCUUUUCUUUAAAAAAAAAUUAUAUUCAGGUGUUGUUAGACCUACCAAGUAUAUUGCAGUAUUGCUAUACAUAAUCUCAUCAAGAAGUGUUGUAACUACUGAUGAGUAGAAGGAUGGAGCAGUGUUUGGAUCCAUUGUUGCAGGCUCUAGGGUUGAAGUGCGCCGAAGUUGUGCCCAAGAAGUUGCUAGGAGGAAUGUAGAAGGAUUUUGGAUCGGUGGAUUUGGACUGGGGGAAAGCAUGGAGAGCGCAACCCCCUCCUUAGUGUUGUUAUGGUAUGGUUCUCUUAUGGUAUUUCAGGCUUCUGUUCUUUUUCUUUUGGACCUGGUUGUUGCUAUUGUCUGUUUAUUGCUUCAUUUUCACUUCUUUUGAGCCGAAGGUCUUUCGUAAACAACCUCUCUACCUUCAUUAGGUAGGGGUAAGGUCUACGUACACUUCACCCUCCCUAGACCCCACUUGUGGGAUUUUACUGGGGUUGUUGUUGUUGUUGUUGUUCUUUUUCUUUUGGCAGGAAAUACUUUUGCUUCUAAAGAAGUUCUGCUCUUGAAACGAAUGUGGAAGGCAAGGAUAGGCUGUUUUUGAACUUACCUAAUGGGCAUAAAGAUAGGAUUCUGAUCGUAAGAUGUCUUGAUAAGCAAUUUACUUUAGAUCUAUUCCCCGUGUACUAAUUUUUUGGUGAGUCAAAUGAAGAAAUCUGUUGUUUCCAGCUUCGGAACUUAGUGGAUAAUGGGCUCUCUCCUCUAAAAUUCUCCACUUAAAUACUAAACUUAGUUCCCUGGCAUAAUCCAAACUCUUCACAUGCGCCUACCACAUAUUUCGUGCUCUUCUACUUGGACCAAACCUUUGGGUGCUAUUCCCCUUAUACUUUAAGGAGCUCUGUUGACUACUUAGCACCUUAUGUAAUGUAAAGUGUAAACUGAUCUGAGUUUGACUCAAAUGCCGCAUGAGUCAAACUUUUAUCAGGUUUUUAGUUUGUUUGAAGGUUCAUAUCGAUAGCCUGCACCCACGUCAUCCCUCUCGAAUCGGGUGCAUAUAGCCAAAGUGAAGAUUCCAUAACAUGGGUUCUUAAUAUUAGUUGUGGAUCAUCUAUGGUCCUGCAUUUCUUGGAGUAGUUUGGUGCUGAUGCUUAUGUCAUGAGAGUGCAUUAAGCGGUUCAAGUGCCACAUUUGAUAUACAUGUAAUCUAGUUAUAGGUGGUUCUGUAUUGUGUAAAGAUUUUCUUUAUGAUCUCCUUCAGGUCCAUAAAUUGCCACUCAUCUUCAUUCAGUCUCUUCACUUGAAGGUCGAUGUUCAUGCUAACUUUUUAUUUUAACUAAUGUUAGUUUCGGAGAAAUGGGUUUCUGUUAGUUAUGCUUAUAAUGGUCCUAUAUUGGAUUUGGUACACUGUAAAUGGUUUCACUUGUUUGCAUACAGUGGAAGACUCAAGUUUUUGGUGGCCUAUGGUGUUACUGAUGACAGGAUAGUUUACCUGAAGAAAAACCACGUCUUAUAAGUGGCCUCGGACUACCAGAAGAGGUCUUGCAAGGUGUUGUUGCGGGUAUUGACCUAUUUGAUUCCACCUACACCUACCAUCUUACACUGGGAGGCUUUGCUCUCACCUUUCCGCUUGAAAGAAUAGAAACACAAAUUACAAAAUACCAACCAAAUAGUGAUUUAGGAAGUGAUGGCACAAAGAUAAAUUUGAAAGUAACCAUGUAUAGGUAAGUCUUAUUCAUACUUCAGACUUCUUACGAUAUUCAAUGUAAGUGAAAUUAGCAGCAUACUGGCGUAGCUACAAUUAUGCUCGAUUUAAUACCAAUAGAAAUGAUAGAAUGUAGUCUGACCAUUCACUUUCUGCAGAUGGUGCCGUGAAACAACACUGUUUCCGUGGUAAGUGUGUGUGCAAAGUAGAAGAAGAAGAUUUGCUUGCUUAUGCGUACAUCUACUGUGCUCAUAUAUUUCAUCUAUUAACAUAGUUAUUUUAUAAUUUCACGUCAUACACUAUGAUGAUCGAUAAUUUAGGGGGCCAAAGAUUUCAACAUGACGAAGAGUUGCAAAAAAUAUUUGAAGACUAUUAUUCGUUGGGAUUAGACAUAUAUAAUGACAUUAGCUAUUUAUUUCCAACAAUAUAAGUUUGUCUUAAGUUAGUGAUUAAUAUUUUGGAUUAGUACUUUCUUUUGUUUGUUAAGAUUUAAUGAGAUACAUUAUGUUUUUAUGAAUUAAUAUUAAUAUGUUAUGUUAUUUGGAA